GACGAACCGAGCGACCGUUGUUCGGAAUCACUGGGCUUAAAGGGCGCGUAGGCGGGCUGCCAAGUCUGGGGUGAAAUCCCACGGCUCAACCGUGGAACUGCCUCGGAUACUGGCGGCCUCGAGGGAGGUAGGGGCGUGCGGAACUGUGGGUGGAGCGGUGAAAUGCGUUGAUAUCCACAGGAACUCCGGUGGCGAAAGCGGCGCGCUGGACCUCUUCUGACGCUGAGGCGCGAAAGCUAGGGGAGCAAACGGG
rnacentral:rRNA from 1 species